rnacentral:rRNA from 1 species
GACGAACGCUGGCGGCGUGCUUAACACAUGCGAGUCGAACGGUAAGGCCCUUCGGGGUACACGAGUGGCGAACGGGUGAGUAACACGUGGGUGAUCUGCCCUGCACUUCGGGAUAAGCCUGGGAAACUGGGUCUAAUACCGGAUAGGACUCCGGACUGCAUGGUCUGGGGUGGACAGCUUUUGCGGUGUGGGAUGGGCCCGCGGCCUAUCAGGUUGUUGGUGGGGGGAUGGCCUACCAAGGCGACGACGGGUAGCCGGCCUGAGAGGGUGACCGGCCACACUGGGACUGAGAUACGGCCCAGACUCCUACGGGAGGCAGCAGUGGGGAAUAUUGCACAAUGGGCGCAAGCCUGAUGCAGCGACACCGCGUGAGGGAUGACGGCCUUCGGGUUGUAAACCUCUUUCAGCAUCGACGAAGCGCAAGUGACGGUAGGUGCAGAAGAAGGACCGGCCAACUACGUGCCAGCCGCCGCGGUAA